AAAUUGAAAUAGAAACAUAGAGAUCUGAUAGGAGAAGGAGAUCCGGAAGGGAGGAAGAGCACCGGGGAAGCAGCAGCUCACCGGCCAGCCGCAUUCUGCCACCACGUCCGGCUCCUCGUCGUCGCGCUACCGAUUUGCCACCGAUCCAGUCAUCCGCGCCGUCGUCCUUGCCGCGAGUCCAGCGCCGUCGUUGCUAUCUUUGCACGAGGAGAGGUAGAGGCUAGCAGUGGAGGGCGGCGCAUGAGAGGGAGUUCGUGCCUCACCGCCGUCACCCAAUGGGGCCACGGACUGCGCCGGUCGCCGCCGCGUCGCGUCGAGGAGGAAGGCUGAGACUGAGCGCCGCUGGGAGGGAGGACGACGCGAGCUGGAGGUCCGGUCACCGUGGUGUUAUGGAGCAGACAGAACCGCGCCACGCUGUUGGGGUUCUCACUGUCGCCGGAAAAGAAUUCAGGCCGCCGCAGGUGUCAUGGUCGGAGAAGGAAGCUGUGCCCCUGUGUCCUGACCGCCGGGAGUGGUUCUGCAACUUCCGGGAUCACCGCCGGAGCUCCGGGCUGAGCUUCUGCCACUUGAGACCCUACUGCCACCGUGUUCCACUACCGUUACCGUCACCGGUGUUUUUGCUCGCGAUUGUCACUUGGGGUUACUGACGGAGCCC